rnacentral:lncRNA from 1 species
CGUUAUUUAAGUUAUGACGUCAUAUUCAAUGGAAACAAAGAAAGGCUGUCAUCAGGUAACGUUUUUUUUAUAACAAACAAUUUUUAAAAAUGAAUUAGUAUUGAGUUCCUUUCUUAGACUGAUAAAUAUACAUUUUAUUCAAAGUCUCAUGCAAACAAGACCGGAAUCGGAAGUAGAUUUCUGCGCAGAUCCGGAAAUUCAAAAACACG